AGGGGGUUAGUCCAAACAAGACCUCUGAUUUCGGCUCAGAAAAUCGCAGUUAAAAUCCGUGACUCCCUU
rnacentral:tRNA from 1 species